rnacentral:tRNA from 1 species
GGGGAUAUAGCUCAGUUGGUAGAGCGUCUCGUUCGCAAUGAGAAGGUCAGGGGUUCGAACCCCCUUAUCUCCA